rnacentral:rRNA from 1 species
CGAAAGCGAAUGGCGGGACGCUCUCCCGCAGGGGGCGCGCCGCCGGCCGGACGUCCUCGAGGCGGACCGAGCCGGAGCGCUCGCGUCGGGACCCGAAAGGUGGUGAUCUAUCCGUGCGCGCGGCGAAGCCGGGGAAACCCCGGUGGAGGCCCGUCGACGGUACUGACGUGCAAAUCGUUCGUCCGACGUGCGAAUAGGGGCGAAAGACCAAUCGAACCUCCUAGUAGCUGGUUUCCGCCGAAAUUUCCCUCAGGAUAGCGGCCAUCGCGGAAACGUUUUGACCGGUAGAGCGAACGACUAGAGGUACCGGGGCCGUAACGGCCUCGACCUAUUCUCGAACUCCGAACGGGCAAGGAGCCGGGGUCGCCCGAUCGGACCCCGGACGUGAAGUCGACGAUGGUCGGUGGGCUGGUUUUGGUAAGCAGAACGGGCGAUUCGGGAUGAACCGGAAGCGGGG